UGGGAAGUCGCCAAGCGGUAAGGCACCAGACUUUGACUCUGGCAUUCGUAGGUUCGAUCCCUGCCUUCCCAGCCA
rnacentral:tRNA from 1 species